rnacentral:rRNA from 1 species
UACGUAGGGUGCGAGCGUUAAUCGGACUUACUGGGCGUAACGCGUGCGUAGGCGGUUCGUUAAGUUCGUUGUGAAAGCCCCGGGCUCAACCUGGGAAUGGCAAUGGAAACUGGCGGGCUGGAGUAUGGCAGAGGGGGGUGGAAUUCCGCGUGUAGCAGUGAAAUGCGUAGAGAUGCGGAGGAACACCGAUGGCGAAGGCAGCCCCCUGGGCUGAGAUUGACGCUCAGGCACGAAAGCGUGGGGAGCAAACAGG